rnacentral:rRNA from 1 species
CAGCAGCCACGGUAAUGCGUAGGGUGCAAGCGUUAAUCGGAAUUACUGGCGUAAAGCGUGCGCAGGCGGUUAUAUAAGUCAGAUGUGAAAUCCCCGGGCUCAACCUGGGAACUGCAUUUGAGACUGUAUGGCUAGAGUGUGUCAGAGGGGGGUAGAAUUCCACGCGUAGCAGUGAAAUGCGUAGAUAUGUGGAGGAAUACCGAUGGCGAAGGCAGCCCCCUGGGAUAACACUGACGCUCAUGCACGAAAGCGUGGGGAGCAAACAGGAUUAGAUACCCCCGUAGUCCCUGUCUCUUAUACA